CCUACGGGAGGCAGCAGUGAGGAAUAUUGGUCAAUGGCCGGAAGGCUGAACCAGCCAUGCCGCGUGAAGGUCAGUGCCCUGUGGGCGUUAAACUUCUUUUGUGCGGGAGCAAUAAUGGUCACGUGUGGCCAGACGAGAGUACCGUACGAAUAAGCAUCGGCUAACUCCGUGCCAGCAGCAGCGGUAAUACGGGGGAUGCAAGCGUUAUCCGGAUUAAUGGGGUUGAAAGGGUGCGUAGGCUGUGAUGUAAGUCAGCGGUGAAAUGCCCCCGCUCAACGGGGUGAAGUGCCAUUGAUACGGGCUUGCUGGAAUGCGGAUGCCGUGGGAGGAAUGUGUGGUGUAGCGGUGAAAUGCAUAGAUAUCACACAGAAUACCGAUUGCGAAGGCAUCUCACGAAUCCGCGAUUGACGCUGAUGCACGAAAGCGUGGGUAUCAAACAGGAUUAGAUACCCUUGUAGUC
rnacentral:rRNA from 1 species